AUGAGCGACAGCAGCGAGCAGAACUAUGGCGAGGGGAAACCCGUUCUGUUUCCAGAAGUGGAAGUGCUCAUGGAUCUGGGAAAUCUGCAAGGCAUACCCCAGCAAGAUCUCGCUCCAAGGAAGAUUCCAGGCGUUCCAGAUCAAACUCCAGGUCCAGAUCUGAAUCUAGGUCUAGAUCCAGAAGAAGUUCUCGAAGGCAUUACACAAGAUCAAGAUCUUGGUCUCGCUCCCAUAGACGAUCCCGUAGCAGGUCUUACAACUGAGAUUAUCGAAGACGGCCUAGCCACCGUCAUUCUUCCAUGCCCACUCACAGGCGUCAUGUUGGGAAUUGGGCAAAUCCUGAUCCAACUGCUGUCUUGGAGUAUUUGGAUUGAGCUUGUACACUACAGAAAGAGAUCUAAGAGAAGUAUUCUCUAAAUAUGGCCCCAUUGCUGAUGUGUCCAUUGUAUAUGACCAGCAGUCUAGAUAUUCAAGAGGAUUUGCCUUUGUGCAUUUUGAAAAUGUAGAUGAUGCCAAGGAAGCAAAAGAGCGUGCCAAUGGAAUGGAACUUGAUGGAUGUAGGACCAGAGUUGAUUUCUCUAUAACAAAAAGACCACAUACCCCGACACCAGGGAUUUACAUGGGGAGACCUACCUAUGGCAGCUCACGCUGUCAGAAUUACUAUGACAGGAUAUGAUCGAGUCUAUAAUGAGCGAGACUACUACAGCAGAUCACACGGAGGAGGAGGAGGAGGAGGAGGAGGAUGGACAGCUGCUCAAGACAGGGAUCAGAUUUACAGAAGGUGGUCACCUUCUCCUUACUAUAGUCACGGAGAAUACAGAUCACAUUCUAGAUCUCAAUCAUACUCACCUCAUCGCUAUUAAAGCAUGAAGUUGAAGACUUUCUGAAGCCUACCCUAGAGUUGGGAUAUUGUUCAUGGACAAUAUUUUUUAUUGUCUCCUCUUUAAAAAGUGAACAGUGCCUAGUGAAGUUAGGUGACUUUUACACCUUUAAUGAUGACUACUUUUGGUGGAGUUGAAAUGCUGUUUUCAUUCUGCAUUUGUGUAGUUCGAUGCUUUGUUCCAAGUUAAG